rnacentral:lncRNA from 1 species
UAUUUUAAUUUUUUUAAACUUUUACUUUUUAAGUAAACGAUUUUAACAUAAGCUUAGCGGUAUGAAACACAAUUGAUUGACUAUAGAACAAGCAUACACACUUGUUACAUGCUCUAUUUCAAGCCAUCACAGACAAAGAUGGCAAUUUAUUCACAGUACAAAAACAAAAACAAAAACCAAAAAAAAGCUACACACGAAGAGAAAAAAACAAACUGAUCGCGUGCCCACAACAUAACUCUCUCUCUCUCCUCAUGGAUUGGAAGAGAAGUUGAAGUUUAAAUAAUUAUUACGGCGCAUCUGCAGCGAAGUGUAGACCGGCCCAAAUCAAACUGGACCAGAUUAUCCUCCAACUGAUUGUCCCCAAUCAAAAUCUCAGCCUUUGGGCUCAGCCCUCCAUCGGCAAACGCCAAACACUCCCCCCGGACUGGGGCUGGACCAACGAGUUGGCCCCAUAGAUACUCCACACAACGUUUCGGUGACCCAAAACGAAGUAGAUGGUGGGAACACUAGGCUCCAUUCACGUGCUUGGCAACUUUGUCGAGACAAAACAAACGUCAAAAAUGUAAGACUGUGGGUUUCACUCACUUGAGGGACUCCAGAGAGGUGGCCCGUCAAGAACAGAUUGAGAGUGGUAAAAAUGGAGUGCUCCAAGACAGUGUAGGGGUGGUUGCUAAUCGUUGUUCUGAUAAGGCCUUGUUUGGCUGAUGAUGUUUUAAUUGGGAUAGGCUUUCCAUUUAUUUUUAUUGAACUCACUUGUAUAAACUACUCACCCUGUGGGCUAACUAUGAGCGGGGUAUAAGCAGUUUGAGCAGAUAUAUCAAUGCCUGAAAUGAUAUGAUACGGCCCAUUUCGGAAGAAAACGACACCGUUUGAAUUAGGGGAUGCAGUGAGAUACAAGACGAAUUGUGGGCUGAAGUGAGUUGGUCCGGGAGCGAAAAAUAUGCCAUAAAUUACUCAUAAAACAAGGUAUAAAAUUUUCGCCUAAUUUGAUUGGAUGAAAUAUUUAUUUUCCUCUGUCAAGCGCUAUGUGUUAAUUUUCUUAAUAAGCAUUAUCUAUUGUGUAUGGCAAUGGAGAUUGAAAUAGUAAAUAUUUACAAACAAAAUGUUCAUUAUAACAAACAAUAAAAUAACUUGUUUUUAUGGCUGUGACGAAUAUGGAAAAUAAUAAAACUUUUUGCAGACAAAACAUUCCCGAUUCCAAAAGCCUUAAAUAAUAAAAUUUGUCUACGGUGACAGUGGCGACAACGUUAGUGAUAGAAAAUAUUAAAAUUUCACUAUUAAAACAUGUAACAAUAAAAUUUAUCAAUUGCAUGUGGUGGCAGUGGCUCCGGCUGUUGCCAUGGCAGCAACAACAUUGAUGAAUUUGUGACUUUUAUUUGAAUAGCCAUAGAAGGCAAGGGAAAAUUAUCUUAAAAAUAAUUUUACAUUAAAUUAGGAAACCUUUCAACUCAUAAAACAAAAUUUCUACUUUAGACUGCUUUUCUUGCAUCUCAGCCAGGUAUGUUUUAUUGUUUGUAUUGUUAUAGUAAUUAUAUUUGUGCACCGCAUAUGCGUAUCAUUUGACGUGUCAGUUUACACUGUUCAUUUACAUAUGUUGUGUAGAGUUUAUCAAGUGAUCUAAUUGCUCCAUAUAUACUGCCACAUUACAUAAUACUUAAAUGUGGUAUACAAAAGUAAUCAUCAUGGCUAACAACCUACAAGUCAUAAACAAUUUUUUAUGGUAUUUUCAGAAGUUAAUAAUAGUUUUUUUGGGUGAAAAAUCUACUUUACCCCUUGUAGUUUUGACUCGAGCACUUCACCUCCCUCACAUUCAAUAAUAGCCAAGCCAAUUUACCACCACCUUGUUUUGGAGUAAAGUGCAACGUGAACUCUGUUAACUGAAUUGGGGAAAUGACUGUCAUACCCUUUUUUUAUCUUCUUCUCCUAUUUUGUUUUCCUCCUCCUCCUCCUCCUCUUCUUUAUGUGUGUGUGUGUAUAGAUUGGCCAAACAAUUUUUGUUAAGAAGCAAAUUUCAAUAAACCGCUUAUUAUUAAUUAAGCCACAUAUAAUCAAGAUAUUAGACCAAGUUCCCCUAUUCUGCAAGUAAUGUCUGCUUUUAACUUAAGUUUUAAUUAACCAUUCAUUGGAUAUACAUACAAAUGUUUACAUAUGUACAGAUUUAGAAUUCAUGUUAACACAGAUUUCUGUUAAUAAUUGUUUAAAUAGGUUUGGGGAUACAAUAUUCAAGCCCACAAAAUUUUUGUGAUGAAGAAUAGGGGAAGGAUUGGCCCACCACCUGUCACCACCAAUAAUGUUGUCAUUCAUUUUACAGAUUGACAAGAGGACCACAAAAAGCUUUUGGUGGAGCAAUAAUUGAGCAAUUUAUUCUGGUGUUUUGCUACUUUAGACCACAGUGUUGCAUCUCAACCAGGUAUGUUCUUCUGGUAAUGCUCAUUUGAUAUGACAUCUUACAUGAUCUAUUUAAAUGUGUUGCCAGGAUUUAUCAAAUGGUGCAAUUUGUGCACAUAUAUCUAUCACGACAUCACAUGGUACUCAAAUUUAGUCUUUAUAAAAAGUACUUUCUCCAUAUGAACUCCUAAUAGCAGCCAAUCCUUGUCAUGAACAAUUGUUUUUUAUGAUAUUUUUAUAAGGUGAUUUUAAUUAUAAGAUUUUUCAUGUUCUUAUAAAGAUAGGAAAAGAAAAAGAAAAGAAAAAGGUUGUUGGAAAUUUGGAAUUUGUAGACUGAGAAAGUCACUUGCCUCGUGCUAGAAUCUUGUACAUUUUUCUAUUUCUCACGCUACAGCAAAGUAAUCAUCUGAAAAAGUUGUUGGAAUACAAUAUAGAUUCAGAAAGUCAUUUGUAAAUUUUAAUACUGAAAAGAAAAGGGGAAUUAUUAAGCAAAGUAUGAUUGGUGGUCUUUUGCUUGUUGCAUCUAGAUAUUUUUAUGAUGUGGUUCAUUUAGGUGUUUAAAUUCUCUAUUGAACACCAGUGUAAGAAAGCUACAAGCACAAAAUUAGGCCACAAAAGCGGAUGUGGCCACUGGCCAAACACGUCCUCAACUUGGCUCACUCAAGUUACUAAAUAUCGGUCGAUAUGUAUCUGGAUUUUGACAUUCUAAUAUGAAUAUUUUAGUAAAUGUCAACUCAGACUGUCUAAUAUUUUUAUGAUGUGGUUCAUUUAGGUGUUUAAAUUUUCUAUUGAACACCAGUGUAAGAAAGCUACAAGCACAAAAUUAGGCCACAAAAGCGGAUGUGGCCACUGGCCAAACACGUCUUCAACUUGGCUCACUCAAGUUACUAAAUAUCGGUCGAUAUGUAUUUGAAUUUUGACAUUCUAAUAUGAAUAUUUUAGUAAAUGUCAACUCAGACUGUCUAAUAUAGGCCGAUACAUAACCAUAUCACCGAUACAGUUACUGAUAUCAGCCGAUAUGUAUCUGGAUUUUGGUAUUACGAUACGGAUAUUUUAGUAAAUGUCAACCCAGACAGUCUAAUAUAGGCCAAUACAGGACUAUAUCACCGAUACAGUUACUGAUACUGCGAUUUAGGUUUCCCACUGAACCAAUGCUAUAAUUGAAAAAAAGAAGAAAAAAAAGAAACGUAAAAGAAUACUGGCAAUGUUAUUAUGUCUAGAAGUUCACUCAAAGAGAGAGAACACAAGAAAUUCCCAUCUCCAUAGCAGAACCUAUUUCUUCGAUGGCAUUUAUACACUACGUUUUAUAGCAAUAUUUUUUGAGUUGACAACUCUUUAGAGAUUCUAAAAAAUAAAAAUGCCAUUGAACUUUGUUUUUAGACCUCUCCUCGAUCCCAUAAGAAAGAAAUGCUAAAUAACGAACUAAAAAUAAAACAACUACGUGUUCCAAAUCAGUCAAAUCACUACGCAUCUGAAUUACCCAUAGUCAAUUUCUAGGUUUUUCAUUUCAGCUGCAUAACCAAUGGAUGAAUGGGUGAUCUAAGAGAUGUCAGUGGCUAUGGUUUUCAUUUCUAGGGUUUAUUGGCUUGAAUUUGCUUUUUAUUAACAAGUUUGUUAGAUUUAUUUUGAUUAUCAUGGUUCUUAUUUUAUUUUUUUCAGGUGUGUUUUAUAACUGAGUUAUGUAUAUUUUGCUCAAUGGGUAAUGCAGGUAAAAUGAGGUUAGCCCAUCUGAAAUGAAGAAAUGAACAACAUUAAGAGCAUACGGAACAUGUUGAAUUUGUAGGGUCCAUGGGUCCGUUAGCCUGGGGCUAUAUAUCCAUUUUCUCUGUUACUCAUUUUGCAGGUGGAGUUCAACAUUUUCAUAAAUAAUUAAGGCCCCGUUUGACCCAAAAUUUUUCUUGAAUUCUUUAGUUAAUUUGAUUUUUGAGGUUUGGUUAUCUCUAGUAAAUUUUUUUAAUCGUUUGAUCGAAUUUUUAUAUUUUUUUGGUUCUUUUUAAUGAGAAGAGUCUGAAAAUAUAAAAAUAUUCAUCUAAUUUGGAAAGAUGUUCACUAAAGAAAAAAAAAUAACACUUUUUACUCAACAAAUUAGUUAAAUUUUUAUUUCUUAAUGCAUUUUCGGUUCCAAAUUUGAACAAUCUUUUUUCAUUUUGAGAUUUUCUCAUCAACAAGAAAAGAAAAAGCAUAAUUUUUUUAUUAAACAGAGAAAAAAGUCACAAAAAGAUGGAAAAACUUCAAAAUCAAAGCACCUAAAAAAUCUCAAUUUUUUUUUAUGCCAAACUGGGCCUUACUAUUGGUAUUUAUCCUGUUGUACAUAUCACUUUAAAUGUGCAUUUUUACUCUAUGGAUAUAUUUGUUUAGAAAAUAUCAACCACAUCCUGAUGAACAAUGGUUAAAAUAUAAAAUAUAUAUUAAAAUGUGAAAAUGAAUUAAAAUAUAUGAAAGGUAUAUAAAGUUGUAACUUUCUUAACAUUUGGGGAUUUUUAUUUGCAACAUAAGGUCUCCCCCGAGUUGGUAUGAAUCUAUAGGAAAAACUGUUAAAAUAUUUUUUAAUUAAAAGUAAUAUUUUUUUCCUUUAAAAUGGAGAAAUGGGUUGGAGAUUCUUAUGAGUGGCU